rnacentral:lncRNA from 1 species
AUUAAAAUUAUAAAUUAAAUAUUAAAAUAAAUAUUAAAUGUUAAAAUAAUUAUGAACAUAUUAAAAAUAAAUAUUAAAAAUAAAUAUUAAAAAUAACUAUUAAAAAUAUUAAAAAUAUUAACAAUAAAUGACAGUUUGAUGGAGCAGCAUUUAAAGUAAGAGCUCCAGACAAUCUGGAUAUUUUAAGUAAAGUGAAAAAAAAUCUCUAGGAGCUUCCAAAAGCUCUGAAUUAUUUCCAGGCUCCCAGUAAAAUGCUCUGAUGGAUUUAAUUAAGGCUCUCAAUGGAAUUUUACAGAGAAAAGCAGUGUUACUAACCCAGAAAACACAGAGAUUAUUUUUUUAAUUCAAAGUGGGAAGCUGUCCCGGGCACUGAGCACAAUUUGAUUUUAAAGAUUGGUUUUCGUUUGUCUCCAACAGGUGAAAUCCACUGAAGUCCGAGUGGUUUUCCACACUCACCUCCCGAAUUCCAGGAGCAGAGGAAGGAGCAGGGAAUAAUGAAAUCACAGCUCUUUAAUGAGCCUCAGCUUUCAACAGCUCCGGGAUCCUCCAGAGCAAGGGCUCAGUUCCAGCAAAAUGACAAAAAUCUCUGUUCCUGGUCUGGAGGGAGAGCACAGCAAGAUCAGCAGGACACAAAUCCUGGGUCAGACUGGAAACCUGAGCAAAACCCAACAUGUACCCAGGGGAGCUGUGUGAGAACCCAAAUCCUGAAACACCCAGAGGAGCUGUGUGAGAACCC